rnacentral:rRNA from 1 species
GACGAACGCUGGCGGCGUGCUUAACACAUGCAAGUCGAACGGAAAGGCCUGCUUUCCCUUGUGGAUUGCGGGUACUCGAGUGGCGAACGGGUGAGUAACACGUGAGUGAUCUGCCCCCAACUUGGGUAUAAGCCUGGGAAACUGGGUCUAAUUCCCGGUAGGACUGCAGGGUGGUGCCUGUGGUGGAAAACGAUUUUCUAGUGGUUGGGGAUGAGCUCGCGGCCUAUCAGCUUGUUGGUGGGGUAAUGGCCUACCAAGGCGGCGAGGGGUAGCCGGCCUGAGAGGGUGGACGGCCACAUUGGGACUGAGAUACGGCCCAGACUCCUACGGGAGGCAGCAGUGGGGAAUAUUGCACAAUGGGCGGAAGCCUGAUGCAGCGACGCCGCGUGGGGGAUGACGGCCUUCGGGUUGUAAACUCCUUUCGACCGCGAGGAAGCCACCUGGUUGGAAGGGUGGUGACGGUAGUGGUAGAAGAAGCACCGGCUAACUACGUG